AUUGAACGUUGGCGGCAGGCCUAAUACAUGCAAGUCGAGCGGAAACGAUGGGAGCUUGCUCUCAGGCGUCGAGCGGCGGACGGGUGAGUAACGCGUAGGAAUCUACCCAGUAGCGGGGGAUAGCCCGAGGAAACUCGGAUUAAUACCGCAUACGCCCCACGGGGGAAAGGCCGGGAUCUUCGGACCGGUCACUAUUGGAGGAGCCUGCGUAGGAUUAGCUUGUUGGUGAGGUAAAGGCUCACCAAGGCUACGAUCCUUAGCUGGUCUGAGAGGACGAUCAGCCACACUGGAACUGAGACACGGUCCAGACUCCUACGGGAGGCAGCAGUAGGGAAUAUUGUGCAAUGGGCGAAAGCCUGACACAGCCAUGCCGCGUGUGUGAAGAAGGCCCUAGGGUUGUAAAGCACUUUCAGUAGGGAGGAAUUAGUAAGGGUUAAUAACUCUGCGAAAUGACGUUACCUACAGAAGAAGCACCGGCAAACUCCGUGCCAGCAGCCGCGGUAAUACGGAAGGUGCGAACGUUAAUCGGAAUUACUGGGCGUAAAGCGCGCGUAGGUGGUUUAUUAAGUGGGAUGUGAAAGCCCCGGGCUUAACCUGGGAACUGCAUUCCAAACUGAUGAACUAGAGUACGAUAGAGGGGGGUAGAAUUCAGAGUGUAGCGGUGAAAUGCGUAGAUAUUCUGAGGAAUACCGGUGGCGAAGGCGGCCCCCUGGAUUGAUACUGACACUGAGGUGCGAAAGCGUGGGGAGCAAACAGGAUUAGAUACCCUGGUAGUCCACGCCGUAAACGAUGUCUACUAGCCGUUGGGAGGCUUGACCUCUUAGUGGCGAAGCUAACGCGAUAAGUAGACCGCCUGGGGAGUACGGUCGCAAGAUUAAAACUCAAAUGAAUUGACGGGGGCCCGCACAAGCGGUGGAGCAUGUGGUUUAAUUCGAUGCAACGCGAAAAACCUUACCAGGCCUUGACAUCCUGAGAAUUCGGUAGAGAUACCUUAGUGCCUUCGGGAACUCAGUGACAGGUGUUGCAUGGCUGUCGUCAGCUCGUGUCGUGAGAUGUUGGGUUAAGUCCCGUAACGAGCGCAACCCUUAUCCUUAUUUGCCAGCACAUUAUGGUGGGAACUUUAAGGGGACUGCCGGUGACAAACCGGAGGAAGGAGAGGAUGAUGUCAAGUCAUCAUGGCCCUUACGGCCUGGGCUACACACGUGCUACAAUGGACAGUACAGAGGGCCGCAAUGCCGCGAGGUGGAGCAAAUCCCAAAAAACUGUUCGUAGUCCGGAUCGGAGUCUGCAACUCGACUCCGUGAAGUCGGAAUCGCUAGUAAUCGCGAAUCAGCAUGUCGCGGUGAAUACGUUCCCGGGCCUUGUACACACCGCCCGUCACAUCAUGGGAGUGGGCUGCAAAAGAAGCGGCUAGUCUAACCUUCGGGAGGACGGUCACCACUUUGUGGUUCAUGACUGGGAUGAAGUCGUAACAAGGUAGCCGUAGGGGAACCUGCGGCUGGAUCACCUCCUUAACGAAAGUAUCCGCUGAUGAGUACUCACAACCUAUUGUAUGUUUCCGCUGUCUUUGUUCUUAGCAACCGCUACAAGCGUUUGUUCUAAGCGAGCAUUUUAGACAGCAAUUAGAGCUAGUAACGAGAAACUAGAAGUCAGAAGAAAGCCGGCAACCGCCAGAGCAGUCUUCUGACUUCUAGUCUCUGGACUAGAAAGAAAACAGUUGGAAGCCCCAACUGGUGUUUCGUCCUUAGGGAUCGAAGCCGCUCUUUAAAAAUUUGGAAAGUGAUAAAGUAAGAUUUCUAAGUAAAAUUAGAAAUCGUCUGUAAAGACAUCCGCAAAUGAGAUUGUGUUCUUAUUCCAAUCCUAGCGAGCUCAAACGCGCAAAGGUUGGUCCGUCUAAGAAUACUAAUUCACAUUUGUUCAAUUUAUAUAAAUUUCAAGCGUUAUCCGGUGAAAAACAUGUAGUUUGAAAAGACUCUUUUGAGUUUGCUCAAGUUAUAUGGUCAAGCGAAUAAGCGCAUAUGGUGGAUGCCUAGGCAGUUGGAGGCGAUGAAGGACGUUGUAGUCUGCGAAAAGCUUGGGGGAGGUGACAAACAACCGUUAUAUCCCAAGAUGU
rnacentral:rRNA from 1 species